rnacentral:rRNA from 1 species
GAUGAACGCUAGCUACAGGCUUAACACAUGCAAGUCGAGGGGCAGCAUUUCAGUUUGCUUGCAAACUGGAGAUGGCGACCGGCGCACGGGUGAGUAACACGUAUCCAACCUGCCGAUAACUCGGGGAUAGCCUUUCGAAAGAAAGAUUAAUACCCGAUGGUAUAAUCAGACCGCAUGGUCUUGUUAUUAAAGAAUUUCGGUUAUCGAUGGGGAUGCGUUCCAUUAGGCAGUUGGUGAGGUAACGGCUCACCAAACCUUCGAUGGAUAGGGGUUCUGAGAGGAAGGUCCCCCACAUUGGAACUGAGACACGGUCCAAACUCCUACGGGAGGCAGCAGUGAGGAAUAUUGGUCAAUGGGCGCAGGCCUGAACCAGCCAAGUAGCGUGAAGGAUGACUGCCCUAUGGGUUGUAAACUUCUUUUAUAUGGGAAUAAAGUUUUCCACGUGUGGAAUUUUGUAUGUACCAUAUGAAUAAGGAUCGGCUAACUCCGUGCCAGCAGCCGCGGUAAUACGGAGGAUCCGAGCGUUAUCCGGAUUUAUUGGGUUUAAAGGGAGCGUAGGUGGACAGUUAAGUCAGUUGUGAAAGUUUGCGGCUCAACCGUAAAAUUGCAGUUGAUACUGGCUGUCUUGAGUACAGUAGAGGUGGGCGGAAUUCGCGGUGUAGCGGUGAAAUGCUUAGAUAUCACGAAGAACUCCGAUUGCGAAGGCAGCUCACUGGACUGCAACUGACACUGAUGCUCGAAAGUGUGGGUAUCAAACAGGAUUAGAUACCCUGGUAGUCCACACAGUAAACGAUGAAUACUCGCUGUUUGCGAUAUACAGUAAGCGGCCAAGCGAAAGCAUUAAGUAUUCCACCUGGGGAGUACGCCGGCAACGGUGAAACUCAAAGGAAUUGACGGGGGCCCGCACAAGCGGAGGAACAUGUGGUUUAAUUCGAUGAUACGCGAGGAACCUUACCCGGGCUUAAAUUGCAUUUGAAUAUAUUGGAAACAGUAUAGCCGUAAGGCAAAUGUGAAGGUGCUGCAUGGUUGUCGUCAGCUCGUGCCGUGAGGUGUCGGCUUAAGUGCCAUAACGAGCGCAACCCUUAUCUUUAGUUACUAACAGGUCAUGCUGAGGACUCUAGAGAGACUGCCGUCGUAAGAUGUGAGGAAGGUGGGGAUGACGUCAAAUCAGCACGGCCCUUACGUCCGGGGCUACACACGUGUUACAAUGGGGGGUACAGAAGGCAGCUACCUGGUGACAGGAUGCUAAUCCCAAAAGCCUCUCUCAGUUCGGAUCGAAGUCUGCAACCCGACUUCGUGAAGCUGGAUUCGCUAGUAAUCGCGCAUCAGCCAUGGCGCGGUGAAUACGUUCCCGGGCCU